GUACAAUAAGCAAAAUAAGGGCGUAUGGGGGAUGCCUAGGCUCUCAGAGGCGAAGAAGGACGUGAUAAGCUGCGAAAAGCUGCGGGGAUUGGCACAUACGAAUUGAUCCGCAGAUAUCCGAAUGGGGCAACCCGGCAUGUUGAAGACAUGUCACUCCGAUAGGAGAGCAAACCCGCUGAACUGAAACAUCUAAGUAGGCGGAGGAGAAGAAAACAAAAGUGAUUCCGUAAGUAGUGGCGAGCGAACGCGGAUUAGCCCAAACCAAAGUUGUUACGGCAAUUUUGGGGUUGUAGGACCACGACAUUUCUUGCGGAUUGAAUUAGAACUACCUGGAAAGGUAGGCCAUAGACGGUGAUAGCCCGGUAUAAGUAAGAGAAGAUAAGGAUAGUGGUAUCCUGAGUAGGGCGGGGCACGUGAAACCCUGUCUGAAUUUGGCGGGACCAUCCGCUAAGGCUAAAUACUCCUGAGAGACCGAUAGUGAACCAGUACCGUGAGGGAAAGGUGAAAAGAACCGUGAAUAACGGAGUGAAAUAGAUCCUGAAACCAUACGCUUACAAGCGGUCGGAGCCCACAAGUUGGGUGACGGCGUGCCUUUUGCAUAAUGAGCCUACGAGUUACCGUUGCUGGCAAGGAUAAGCACUUAUGGUGUGGAUCCGUAGCGAAAGCGAGUCUGAAUAGGGCGAUGCAGUCAGUAGUGGUAGACGCGAAACCGUGUGAUCUACCCAUGGGCAGGAUGAAGCUGUGGUAACACAUAGUGGAGGUCCGAACCGGUUGACGUUGAAAAGUCUUCGGAUGACCUGUGGGUAGGGGUGAAAGGCCAAUCAAACUCGGAAAUAGCUCGUACUCCCCGAAAUGCAUUUAGGUGCAGCGCUGGUUAUAAGUUAUAUAGAGGUAGAGCUACUGAUUGGAUGCGGGGGCUUCACCGCCUACCAAUUCCUGACAAACUCCGAAUGCUAUAUAAUGUUUACCAGCAGUGAGGGCAUGGGUGCUAAGGUCCAUGUCCGAGAGGGAAAGAACCCAGACCAUCAGCUAAGGUCCCCAAAUGUAUGCUAAGUUGAAAAAACGAGGUUUGUCUGCCCAGACAGCUAGGAUGUUGGCUUGGAAGCAGCCAUUCAUUUAAAGAGUGCGUAACAGCUCACUAGUCGAGCGGACGAGCAUGGAUAAUAAUCGGGCAUAAGCAUACUACCGAAGCUAUGGAUUUGUAGUAAUACAAGUGGUAGGGGAGCAUUCUAACAGGGUUGAAGGUGUAGCGCGAGCUAUGCUGGACUGGUUAGAAAAGAAAAUGUAGGCAUAAGUAACGAUAAUGCGGGCGAGAAACCCGCACACCGAAAGACUAAGGUUUCCUCAGCUAUGCUAAUCAGCUGAGGGUUAGUCGGGUCCUAAGGCGAACCCGAAAGGGACAGUCGAUGGCCAACGGGUUAAUAUUCCCGUACUACUGUUAAUUGUGAUGGGGUGACGGAGUGAUGAAAGUACCGCGAACUGACGGAAUAGUUCGUUAAAGCACCUACCUAUAAGUUGCGCAGGCAAAUCCACGCGACUUGGGGAAAUGCGAUAGUACUCAGAGGCUUCGGCCAAAGAGAUAGUGUACCUAAGGGCUUCCAAGAAAAACCUCUAAACUUAGAUUAACAGUACCCGUACCGUAAACCGACACAGGUAGUCGAGGAGAGAAUCCUAAGGUGCUCGAGAGAUUCAUGGCUAAGGAAUUAGGCAAAAUAGACCUGUAACUUCGGGAGAAAGGUCGCCAGCAGUAAUGCUGGCCGCAGUGAAAAGGUCCAGGCGACUGUUUAUCAAAAACACAGGGCUCUGCAAAAUCGUAAGAUGAGGUAUAGGGCCUGACACCUGCCCGGUGCUGGAAGGUUAAGAGGAGAUGUUAUCUUCGGAGAAGCAUUGAAUUGAAGCCCCAGUAAACGGCGGCCGUAACUAUAACGGUCCUAAGGUAGCGAAAUUC
rnacentral:rRNA from 1 species